UGCCAGCAGCCGCGGUAAUACGUAGGGGGCUAGCGUUGUUCGGAAUCACUGGGCGUAAAGCGCGCGUAGGCGGACCAAUCAGUUGGGGGUGAAAGCCCGGAGCUCAACUCCGGAACUGCCUCCAAUACUGUUGGUCUUGAGGUCGAGAGAGGUAAGUGGAAUUCCUAGUGCAGAGGUGAAAUUCGUAGAUAUUUGGAGGAACACCAGUGGCGAAGGCGGCUCACUGGCUCGAUACUGACGCUGAGGUACGAAAGUGUGGGGAGCAAACAGGAUUAGAUA
rnacentral:rRNA from 1 species